GACAGAGGGUGCAAACGUUGUUCGGAUUCAUUGGGCGUAAAGGGUGCGUAGGCGGGUCUUUAAGUCAGGGGUGAAAUCCUGGAGCUCAACUCCAGAACUGCCUUUGAUACUGAAGAUCUUGAGUUCGGGAGAGGUGAGUGGAACUGCGAGUGUAGAGGUGAAAUUCGUAGAUAUUCGCAAGAACACCAGUGGCGAAGGCGGCUCACUGGCCCGAUACUGACGCUGAUGCACGAAGCGUGGGGAGCAAACAGG
rnacentral:rRNA from 1 species